AUAUCUGUUUUACGUAUUGAUACGUAUUCAAAGAAAAAUUGCUUGGUAUAUGAAGGAAAAGGAUAGCGAAUUUCCGUAACACAACUGAUCCAAUAAAUAAUUCUUACCCCAUACAAAUUUGAUACAAUGCAUAAUAUUUAUACAUAUAUUCGCAAAUUAUAAUAUUGCAAAACAGGUUACAAUCCACGUGGACUCAUUAUUACUUAUAUAUAACAGUUCUUAAAGGUUCUUACGAAUGAAUACAGUGUUUAUGAUAACAGAAUGUCUCACGAGAAACCUUGUCGUGCAUGUACAGACUUUAAGACAUGGGCAAAAAGUCAAAAGAAAACUUAUGAAUCCACAAAGGAAUCUGAGGAAAGUAAAAAGAAAGAUCAAGCUGUAAAUAAUACUAGACGUGAUUGCCCAUUGGAUAAGGACGAAUUAGGUUCAAGAACAUGGUCAUUUCUACAUACCAUGGCAGCAUAUUAUCCUGAUAAUCCAAGUGAUGAACAGAAAUCAGAUAUGAAAACAUUUUUUAAAAUAUUUUCUAAGUUUUAUCCAUGCUAUGUAUGUGCAGAAGAUUUACAAGAGCAAAUAAAACAGUAUCCACCUCAAACAGAUUCGCAGGAAAAGUUAAGUCAAUGGCUUUGUAACAUUCAUAACGGGGUAAACAAAAGGCUUGGGAAACCUCUGUUUGAUUGCAAACUUGUUAACCAAAGGUGGAAAGAUGGUUGGCUGGAUGGUUCAUGUGAUUGAUAAUCGUUAUGGUUUUAAAUUCUCAGAUAAAUCCUACACGUGAUAUAAAAAAUUAUAGUAUGCUUAUUAUUAAGAUUGCAAAGUAGGUGGAGGUAGAUGGGAUAUAGUGAACGCAGAACCUGCUGUUCUAACACGAGGUUCAUAAC